rnacentral:rRNA from 1 species
AGUGAACGCUGGCGGUAGGCCUAACACAUGCAAGUCGAACGGCAGCACAGUAAGAGCUUGCUCUUACGGGUGGCGAGUGGCGGACGGGUGAGGAAUACAUCGGAAUCUACUUUUUCGUGGGGGAUAACGUAGGGAAACUUACGCUAAUACCUCAUACGACCUACGGGUGAAAGCAGGGGAUCUUCGGACCUUGCGCGAUUGAAUGAGCCGAUGUCGGAUUAGCUAGUUGGCGGGGUAAAGGCCCACCAAGGCGACGAUCCGUAGCUGGUCUGAGAGGAUGAUCAGCCACACUGGAACUGAGACACGGUCCAGACUCCUACGGGAGGCAGCAGUGGGGAAUAUUGGACAAUGGGCGCAAGCCUGAUCCAGCCAUACCGCGUGGGUGAAGAAGGCAUUCGGGUUGUAAAGCCCUUUUGUUGGGAAAGAAAAGCAGAAGGUUAAUACCCCGCUGUUCUGACGGUACCCAAAGAAUAAGCACCGGCUAACUUCGUG